UUUGUACUCCCUUCGUCUGGAAUUACUUGUCCAAAAAAUAGAUACAAAUGGAUGUAUCUAGAACAAAAAUAAGUCUAGAUAUAUUCAUUUCUGCGACAAGUAAUUUGAGACAGAGGGAGUAUCAA
rfam:Triticum aestivum genome assembly, contig: Triticum_aestivum_CS42_TGACv1_scaffold_621669_7DS